rnacentral:lncRNA from 1 species
AUGGUGCCACCCCCUCCGCCGCCACCCAAAAUCAGGAGACACCCCCGGCGCCCGGCCCUCCUCCCUGCCCAGGCAGACCCGAAAUCCGAUUGCAGCGCCGGGGGUGCCGCCGGGCUCGCCGGCGCCCGGUUAUUCAUUCUCCCGGAGGGAGACCUUUGGACCAUGCAAAGCAUGGGGAGAGUCCGGGCUGGCAUCCUGCCCUCUGGCAGCCCGCUUGGCAGGGCUUGGGCUCGGGGAUUUUUGGGGUGGCAGGAUGCGAGCGGGGGGUUCUGCCUAGGGAGGAUCCACGCUGCGGUGCCAUCUCCUUGUGACGGGGUCCCUAGUGUCCUCCCAGCAGCAUGGGUACUGCUCGCUGAGACCUCCUCCCGCGUGUCCCCAGAGCAUCUCCACCUCUAUCCCCACGCUGACCCCACACCGGUGCCGCCGGAGCAGCGUGGAGGAACCGCCGGCGCGCCGGCUCCCAGCUUCCUCCCAAUUAAACCGAUUUCUCGGAUGGCUCCAGCCAUGCAGCAGCUUUGUAGCUGCCACCGCCGGGGUCUCCCUGCCCUCCCCGUCCACCUGCUCACUUGUGUAAUGCGUGGCCCCCAGCCCCGCGGCAGGGACGUGGCCCGGCAGGGGACCGUCCCGCCCGGCCGGCCGAGAACAAGGCAGCGCCGUGCUGGGAUGCGAGCAGCGGGCGCCUCUGAAGCUGCCGCCCCGGGGCCGGACGGUGCCAGCCCGCUGUGCCCAGGAGCCGUGGCGGCGAGCGAAGUGGCACAUCAAAGCCCUCCAAGCUCAGCUCCCUGCGGCCCCCAUCCAGGCACAUGGGGAGGAUUUGGCCGGGGAGGGCGGCAGGUCUGGGGAUGGGGCUCGGGGAUGUGCCAGCAUCCUCCUGCUCCAAGCAUCCUGGCUGCAGGCUGGGUGCCCCUCGCUCCUCCGAGCCGUGUGCCAUCAGCAGAUGACAGGGCAAGGCUCACUGCUGCAGGGACACGAGGAACAGCAGCUGUGCUGGCUGCGCUGCUCACCCCAGGGCACAGGAGCUGUACUCUGCUACCCCCCGGGUGGAUGGACAGCGUGGCUGCAUGGACCUGCACUAACGGGAGGAGGUGCCGAGAUCCCAGUGCAGCAAAACCCCCUGCUCAGCAUCCUCCAGGCAGUCCCGUGCCAAAGGCACCAGAGAUGCAAGGGACGUGA